GAUUAACGCUAGCGGCAGGCCUAAUACAUGCAAGUCGAACGGCAGCGGGUCCAGCAAUGGAUGCCGGCGAGUGGCGCACGGGUGCGUAACGCGUAUGCAAUCUACCUUUAACUGGAGGAUAGCCCCGAGAAAUCGGGAUUAAUACUCCAUAAAAUUGAGAAGGGGCAUCUCUUUUCAAUUAAAGCUCCGGCGGUUUUAGAUGAGCAUGCGUGACAUUAGCUAGUUGGUGAGGUAACGGCUCACCAAGGCGACGAUGUCUAGGGGUUCUGAGAGGAUUUUCCCCCACACUGGUACUGAGACACGGACCAGACUCCUACGGGUGGCAG
rnacentral:rRNA from 1 species